AACGAACGCUGGCGGCAGGCUUAACACAUGCAAGUCGAGCGCCCCGCAAGGGGAGCGGCAGACGGGUGAGUAACGCGUGGGAAUCUACCCUUGACUACGGAAUAACGCAGGGAAACUUGUGCUAAUACCGUAUGUGUCCUUCGGGAGAAAGAUUUAUCGGUCAAGGAUGAGCCCGCGUUGGAUUAGCUAGUUGGUGGGGUAAAGGCCUACCAAGGCGACGAUCCAUAGCUGGUCUGAGAGGAUGAUCAGCCACAUUGGGACUGAGACACGGCCCAAACUCCUACGGGAGGCAGCAGUGGGGAAUAUUGGACAAUGGGCGCAAGCCUGAUCCAGCCAUGCCGCGUGAGUGAUGAAGGCCCUAGGGUUGUAAAGCUCUUUCACCGGAGAAGAUAAUGACG
rnacentral:rRNA from 1 species